CCUACGGGAGGCAGCAGUGGGGAAUAUUGCACAAUGGGGGAAACCCUGAUGCAGCGACGCCGCGUGAGCGAUGAAGUAUCUCGGUAUGUAAAGCUCUAUCAGCAGGGAAGAAAAUGACGGUACCUGACUAAGAAGCUCCGGCUAACUACGUGCCAGCAGCCGCGGUAAUACGUAGGGGGCAAGCGUUAUCCGGAUUUAAUGGGUGUAAAGGGAGCGUAGACGGGGGUGCAAGCCAGAUGUGAAAGCCCGGGGCUCAACCCCGGGACUGCAUUUGGAACUGUGCUGCUAGAGUGUCGAAGAGGCAGGCGGAAUGCCUGGUGUAGCGGUGAAAUGCGUAGAUAUUAGGAGGAACACCGGUGGCGAAGGCGAGCUGCUGGACGGUGACUGACGUUGAGGCUCGAAAGCGUGGGGAGCAAACAGGAUUAGAUACCCGUGUAGUC
rnacentral:rRNA from 1 species